rnacentral:rRNA from 1 species
UCUCCUAAGGCUAAAUACUCUCUAGUGACCGAUAGUGAACCAGUACCGUGAGGGAAAGGUGAAAAGCACCCCGGAAGGGGAGUGAAAUAGAACCUGAAACCGUGUGCUUACAAGUAGUCAGAGCCCGUUAAUGGGUGAUGGCGUGCCUUUUGUAGAAUGAACCGGCGAGUUACGAUUUGAUGCAAGGUUAAGCAGUAAAUGUGGAGCCGUAGCGAAAGCGAGUCUGAAUAGGGCGUUUAGUAUUUGGUCGUAGACCCGAAACCAGGUGAUCUACCCUUGGUCAGGUUGAAGUUCAGGUAACACUGAAUGGAGGACCGAACCGACUUACGUUGAAAAGUGAGCGGAUGAACUGAGGGUAGCGGAGAAAUUCCAAUCGAACCUGGAGAUAGCUGGUUCUCUCCGAAAUAGCUUUAGGGCUAGCCUCAAGUGAUGAUUAUUGGAGGUAGAGCACUGUUUGGACGAGGGGCCCCUCUCGGGUUACCGAAUUCAGACAAACUCCGAAUGCCAAUUAAUUUAACUUGGGAGUCAGAACAUGGGUGAUAAGGUCCGUGUUCGAAAGGGAAACAGCCCAGACCACCAGCUAAGGUCCCAAAAUAUAUGUUAAGUGGAAAAGGAUGUGGCGUUGCCCAGACAACUAGGAUGUUGGCUUAGAAGCAGCCAUCAUUUAAAGAGUGCGUAAUAGCUCACUAGUCGAGUGACACUGCGCCGAAAAUGUACCGGGGCUAAACAUAUUACCGAAGCUGUGGAUUGUCCUUUGGACAAUGGUAGGAGAGCGUUCUAAGGGCGUUGAAGCAUGAUCGUAAGGACAUGUGGAGCGCUUAGAAGUGAGAAUGCCGGUGUGAGUAGCGAAAGACGGGUGAGAAUCCCGUCCACCGAUUGACUAAGGUUUCCAGAGGAAGGCUCGUCCGCUCUGGGUUAGUCGGGUCCUAA